rnacentral:rRNA from 1 species
GAUGAACGCUGGCGGCGUGCCUAAUACAUGCAAGUCGAGCGAACAGACGAGGAGCUUGCUCCUCUGACGUUAGCGGCGGACGGGUGAGUAACACGUGGAUAACCUACCUAUAAGACUGGGAUAACUUCGGGAAACCGGAGCUAAUACCGGAUAAUAUAUUGAACCGCAUGGUUCAAUAGUGAAAGACGGUUUUGCUGUCACUUAUAGAUGGAUCCGCGCCGCAUUAGCUAGUUGGUAAGGUAACGGCUUACCAAGGCAACGAUGCGUAGCCGACCUGAGAGGGUGAUCGGCCACACUGGAACUGAGACACGGUCCAGACUCCUACGGUAGGCACCAGUAGGGAAUCUUCCGCAGUGGGCGAAAGCUUGACGGAGCAACGCCGCGUGAGUGAUGAAGGUCUUCGGAUCGUAAAACUCUGUUAUUAGGGAAGAACAAAUGUGUAAGUAACUAUGCACGUCUUGACGGUACCUAAUCAGAAAGCCACGGCUAACUACGUG